UUUUGGUGAGGUGCCUUCCGAGUUCCCUGGAACGGGACGCCAUAGAGGGUGAGAGCCCCGUCUGGUUGGACACCGAUCCUCUGUAAAGCUCCUUCGACGAGUCGAGUAGUUUGGGAAUGCUGCUCUAAAUGGGAGGUAUAUGUCUUCUAAAGCUAAAUACCGGCCAGAGACCGAUAGCGCACAAGUAGAGUGAUCGAAAGAUGAAAAGAACUUUGAAAAGAGAGUUAAACAGUACGUGAAAUUGUUGAAAGGGAAGCGCUUGUGACCAGACUUGGGCUUGGUUGAUCAUCCGGGGUUCUCCCCGGUGCACUCUUCCGGCUCAGGCCAGCAUCAGUUCGCCCUGGGGGAUAAAGGCUUCGGGAAUGUGGCUCUCUCCGGGGAGUGUUAUAGCCCGCUGCGUAAUACCCUGUGGCGGACUGA
rnacentral:rRNA from 1 species